UAUUGUAAUUUUUCUACCUUCAACCCAUCUGCUGUAUGAGGAUUUCUACAACCCCUGCAUCUACAUUCAACGCAAGGUUUACUUUCAACGUAACAAGGACAACGUUGACCACAACAUGUUAAUUUCCCAGAAAAUUGGACUAAAGUAAGGAUUAUAGAUUAAUGCAGACAUAAGUAUUUAAUGAAUAAAAAACAUAAUAUGUCAUAAAAUGCAAUGUAAAGUUAAUAUCUGCAUCAAUCUUAGUAUGGGACCUAGCAAAAUAUAUAUUCAAAUUUAAACUAGUGUUAGUCUUGAAAUAUAAUAAAGAAUGUUAAUUGAAUAUAAGCUACGUUAUUAAGUGUUAUACAAAUCUAGAAAUAUGAUUGUACCUUACAAGUAAUAUUAACGAGGAUGCACGUCAUUUAGCAUUUAAAUAAAAGUUAUAGUGCAAUGUAAA